rnacentral:rRNA from 1 species
GAUGAACGCUAGCGGCAGGCCUAAUACAUGCAAGUCGGACGGGAUCUAUCGGAGAGCUUGCUCGAAGAUAGUGAGAGUGGCGCACGGGUGCGUAACGCGUGAGCAACCUACCCAUAUCAGGGGGAUAGCCCGGAGAAAUCCGGAUUAAGACCGCAUAAUACAUCACCUUCGCAUGGAGGCGUUGUUAAAUAUUUAUAGGAUAUGGAUGGGCUCGCGUGACAUUAGCUAGUUGGUGAGGUAACGGCUCACCAAGGCGACGAUGUCUAGGGGCUCUGAGAGGAGAAUCCCCCACACUGGUACUGAGACACGGACCAGACUCCUACGGGAGGCAGCAGUAAGGAAUAUUGGUCAAUGGGCGGAAGCCUGAACCAGCCAUGCCGCGUGCAGGACGACUGCCCUAUGGGUUGUAAACUGCUUUUGUCGAGGAAUAAACCUAUCUACGUGUAGAUAGCUGAACGUACUCGAAGAAUAAGGAUCGGCUAACUCCGUGCCAGCAGCCGCCGUAA